UACGUAGGGACCAAGCGUUGUUCGGAUUUACUGGGCGUAAAGGGCGCGUAGGCGGCGCGGUAAGUCACUUGUGAAAUCUCUGAGCUUAACUCAGAACGGCCAAGUGAUACUGCAGUGCUAGAGUGUGGAAGGGGCAAUCGGAAUUCUUGGUGUAGCGGUGAAAUGCGUAGAUAUCAAGAGGAACACCUGAGGUGAAGACGGGUUGCUGGGCCAACACUGACGUGGAGGCGCGAAAGCCAGGGGGAGCAAACGGGG
rnacentral:rRNA from 1 species